rnacentral:tRNA from 1 species
GCACCCGUAGCUCAGCUGGAUAGAGCAUCAGCUUGCGGAGCUGGAGGUCACACGUUCGAAUCGUGUCGGGUGCA